rnacentral:snRNA from 1 species
AGCUUUGUGCAGUGGCAGUAUCAUAGCCAAUGAGGUUUAUCUGAGGUGCAAUUAUUGCUAAUUGAAAAUGCUAAGCUAAGGG